UACGUAGGGGGCAAGCGUUGUCCGGAUUCAUUGGGCGUAAAGAGCGUGUAGGCGGCCAGGUAGGUCGGUUGUGAAAACUGGAGGCUCAACCUUCAGACGUCGACCGAAACCAUCUGGCUAGAGUCCGGGAGAGGAGAGUAGAAUUCCUGGUGUAGCGGUGAAAUGCGUAGAUAUGUGGAGGAACACCGAUGGCGAAGGCAGCCCCCUGGGUCAAGACUGACGCUCAUGCACGAAAGCGUGGGGAGCAAACAGG
rnacentral:rRNA from 1 species